UCUUGACUGUCAUGCUUAGAAAAUCCAUGACCUUUCUAAAUUUAUUUUAAAAGUUUUUUAUUUUACUUAAAAUAUUAAAUAUUAUGCCUUUUGAACUUUAUUUUAUAACAGGUAUUAAGGUAGGCAUCCUAACUUAUCUGUUAACUUCCAAAUGAUUGGUAGGAUUACACAUUUUCCCCAUUUUUAACUAAAUUUCCAUAUGUAUUUGUAUAUUUGAACUUUAUAUUCUACUUCAUUAAGCCCUAUAUGUGGAUUUUUAAAAUAACAUUCUAUUUCAAUUAGUAUAGCAUCACACUUUGUCUUACUGAGGAGGAAAUUCUCCUGAAUUUGAAGAUUUCCUGAAGCCUGAGUUAGCUGCAGUAUUGUAUUUGGCCUCUAGAGGGAGAUGUUACACAAAUUGAAUUUGAUAGCCAAAAACAACCUGAUCUUUUUGAAGAACAGCUUUUUGCUUUACAUGCUGGGCAAACUCAUCAACUUCUCUAUCAGAGUGUCUAUGUGGCCGAAUUGUUUCCAGAAAAGACCUCCAGAAAAUAGCUUCCUGUUUCUCCACCGCUCAGACAUGAAGCCCACCCUCAUCUCAGUGCUUGUGAUAAUAUUUAUACUCAUCUGUAAGGCUUUUCCUGAUCCAGAAUUGGUGUUAUAGGAGGAACAAGAGCCCAGAGUGUGACUCAGCCCGAGAAGCUCCUCUCUGUCUUUAAAGGGGCCCCAGUGGAACUGAAGUGCUACUAUUCAUAUUCUGGGAGUCCUAAUCUCUUCUGGUAUGUCCAGUACCCCAAACAACGCCUCCAGUUACUCUUGAGACACAUCUCUAGAGAGAGCAUCAAAGGCUUCACUGCUGACCUUAACAAAAGCGAUACAUCUUUCCAUCUGAAGAAACUAUUCGCUCAAGAGGAAGACUCAGCCACGUAUUACUGUGCUCUAAGUGGCACAGUAGCUGGUUUUGCAAGGAAGCAGAACACAAACCCUUUAGUCACAAGAAAUAUUUCUUUGUAGACUCUCUGUAUGGCCACAGCGGGGCAUUCUUUCUCCAGAAAUUAAUAUUGAGUUUGUCUCCUACAUAUUAUAUCAUCAGUAGUCAGUUAGCUAUAGAUUAACCUCACAAUUUUGUCCAAAAAAAUUCUCAUUAUUUACUCUGCUUAAACUAAUUUUAAAAAUAGUAAAUGUAUUUAUUUUGUCUAGUAGUACAGGAAACAUACUUUUGAAAUAAAAACUAUAUUGCACGGCAUAAAAAGUAUUCUUUUCUUGGUUCAGAGGUACUGUCCAGGCUUCCAUGGCACAGUCCUACCUCUCCAACUCCUCUGCUGCCCCACAUGAUCCGCACAUGUGGUUGUCACCACAUACCUAAGCACAGUUCCUUAAAGUGCUCUGCUGUUUCAUGGCUUGUGGUUGUUCAUCUUUCUGUAUCUAUUACCUUUCUUUCCAUGAGUUUCAUAGACUUUUCCUAUCUCAGUUAGGGUCCAGCCAGGAAAAAAGAAAUCCAUGAAGUUUAAUAUAAAGAUUUAUUAAAUAAUAAUGAGUAAUUAACUACUAAUGGGUAAAAAAAAAAAAAAAAACACAAAAAAACACAAUUCUAAAGAAUGUAGGAAUGCACAUGUAAGCCGAAGUUCCCAUCUCUAGGGCUAACGUAGAAUUCCAGGAAAGGAACAGAUUGGCAUAAGCAUGAACCCCUCUGCCAAGGCUAUAAUUCAGAUCUCAUUGGGAGUGUGUAGCUGGAGCCUGCUGGAUGGUGGAGAAGUUUGCGGAGGUGCCAGAGGAAAAUACUGACAAGCAGAAAAAUACCUACCAGGAUUACAACACAAUUCAUGGGAAGCCCGCAAAGGAGUGCUGCUGAACUUGCUUGUGGUGGCUGUGAAACUUGCCAAGAAACCACCUGUCAGGCUUGCCGCUGGUGUCCCACAGGCCAACCAAGCAUAGUGGACAAGAAGUGUGGAAAACAUACCAGAACCAGGAAGAGAAGCGUCAUCCUUCUGCAGGGUCCUUCCAGCCCCCUCUACUGACAAAGCUUAAUAUCAAAUAUUUAGAGGGUCCAGAUCCAGUUCACAAAUAGGGUAAUGAGGGUGGAUUUGGAGUUGAGAGGUAAUACAUUGAUAACUGUCACAGCCUGUCCCUCGGGCUACUGAUCUUUCACAUCCAUUCUUUUUUUCUUUCUUUCUUUUUCCAGACGGAGUUUUGUUCUGUCGUCCAGACUGGAGUGCAGUGGAGCAAUCUCUGCUCACUGCAAUCUCCGCCUCCCAGGUUCAAGUGAUUCUUCUGCCUCAGCCUCUUGAGUAGCUAGGACUACAGGUGCCUGCCACCAUGCCCGGCUAAUUUUUGUAUUUUUAGUGGAGGUGGAGUUUCACCAUUUUGGCCAGGCUGGCCUUGAACUCCUGACCUCAGGUGAUCCACCCACUUCGGCCUCCCAAAGUGCUGAGAUUACACGCAUGAGUCACUGCACCUGGCCUGUAUGCAUUCCUAUAUGCACAUUUCAACUUCCAGACUACAGUGAAACGACACUAUGUUUCUACCUAACAAGCUAAAGCUGUCCUUGAACAAGUGACGUUUUCAUUACUUUUCCCAAAUGAGACGAUCCAUAGUCCCAACAACCGCUGUAUGAAUCUCUGACUAUAUCAGCCACAUCUCAAGUUCAGAGGAAGUUCUACUGAAUAUGCUGUUAUAUACAGACUAAAUUAUAAAGUUAAUCUCCAAUAAUUUACAUGUAAAAUAAUUAUGAUAAGAAAGAGAAAGAAUAAAAUGGCAGCACAUACAAAGAAACACCUACAUAAAAUGAGCAAAGAGAAAAUGCAUAAAGCUACUACAUUCCUUGAUUCCAGACUUGGUCCUGGGCUUCAAUUGACAUAGACAGCUUCCUUCUCUUGUUACCUAUUAUAUAUUCUUCUGCCCUCAGCCACAUCAUUGGUGGAUUGGGGUUACUUACCUGGUGGAAUGACAAAAAUCUUCAUUCUCGAAGAGUCUGAGUUCUCAAUAGUCAUGGCUUUUAAUUUGUUGCUGUAGGUUUCCCUUAACUUUUACUAUUGGGCAUGAAAGUGCCAUUAGGCUCCUUAAAAAAUCCCCUGGGUUUCAGAUGUAGCUCUCUCUAUAUGUGUUGUAUAGCAACAUCUCAAUUCUCCUUAGUAAUCGGUAUCGAUCACUCCAGCCAGUAAUUUCUUUUCCUACUUAUUGGUUCAGAGGCAUACAUCAGCUAAAAUGGCCACAUAGCAGUGUCAUCUUUCAAUGCAAUUGAACCAUUUUUUGGGGUCUCCUGGUAGACACAUUCUUCCAUUUAGAGAAUAAGACCUUCAAACCAACGCAGCUCAAAGUCACAAAGACAGGAAGCAAAAAUUAUGAUAGUGGGCUACUGGUAAUAAGAGUGAGACAAUCCAUUCUCAGGACCACUUCCUUGAUGUCUUGACCCAUGCAUUCUGGCUAUGGCGGGUGGGGGCUGGGGGGCAAUACCAUAUAAUGGUUUUUGAUGUAAAGCAGAUACUGCAUCUUGUAAGAUAGAACCUGAUCUUUUCAGGGUGUCUUCAAACUGGCGCCAUAGCUCAAUCAACAAGCCAUUCCACAUUUCAACAAACACUUGUGCAUUGUAAGAUAUGUGAUAAGUCUAUAUGAUUCCAUAGGCAUGUGUCCACAGAUGCACUACUUUGCAGUAAAAAUAGUUCCUUCAUUGGAGUAAAUGCUGUGAGGAUUAUUUUGAUGGUGAAUUAGGCAUUCUGUAAGUUUAUGAAGAGGAGGCCAGCAGAAGCAUUGCAUACAAGGAAGACAAGACAAAUUCAUAGGCAAGUAUAUGUGUCUAUUCUAGUAAGGACAUAUCUCAGUCAUCUCUAUGAUAGAAGAGCAAUCAACCGGUGUCUGGUUGGUCCCUUGGGGCAUGACACCAUAUGAGGAGCUCAGUAGUAGUCUCUGUGAUUUACAGAUUAGGCAUUCAGCAGUAGCAUUAGCUAAGUUAGCCUUAAUAAGGGGAAAUCCAUGCUUUUGAGCUCAUGCAUGGCAUUCAUCCCUGCCAGCAGGGCCACUUAUUUCAUGUGACCAUUGAGCAAGCACUGGGAUGGCUGGGAAAAAUGUUGACACAUCCAUAGAAGGCAUCAUUUUGUCCAUUACAAUAGUUUCUACCGCAUUUGUUUUCUCUUGGUCAGUAUUCACAUUGAGCAAAAUUAUCUUGACAGUCUUUGUUCAUUCUGAGAGGUCCAUCAAGAUACUUCUUUCCUAGAUUUUCUUGUCAUCAUCUUUCAAGCCUAUUCCUUCUAGGUCUUUUGCCAUCUGGCCAAAACUUUAACAACUUCCCAUGAAUCAUGCCUGGGAUUACAGGUGUGAGCCACUGCACCUGGUUCACAUGCAUUCCUAUAUGCACAUUUCAACUUCCAAACAACAGUGAAAUUACACAACAGUGAAAUGGCAGU
rnacentral:lncRNA from 1 species